GACAUAUGGGGCGAGCGUUAAUCGGAAUUACUGGGCGUAAAGCGCACGCAGGCGGUCUGUCAAGUCGGAUGUGAAAUCCCCGGGCUCAACCUGGAACUGCAUCCGAAACUGGCAGGCUAGAGUCUUGUAGAGGGGGGUAGAAUUCCAGGUGUAGCGGUGAAAUGCGUAGAGAUCUGGAGGAAUACCGGUGGCGAAGGCGGCCCCCUGGACAAAGACUGACGCUCAGGUGCGAAAGCGUGGGGAGCAAACAGA
rnacentral:misc_RNA from 1 species